GUGCCAGCCGCCGCGGUAAUACAGAGGGGGCAAGCGUUGUUCGGAAUUACUGGGCGUAAAGGGCGCGUAGGCGGCCUUCUAAGUCAUGCGUGAAAUCCCCGGGCUCAACCCGGGAACUGCGUCUGAUACUGGAAGGCUUGAAUCCGGGAGAGGGAUGCGGAAUUCCAGGUGUAGCGGUGAAAUGCGUAGAUAUCUGGAGGAACACCGGUGGCGAAGGCGGCAUCCUGGACCGGCAUUGACGCUGAGGCGCGAAAGCUAGGGGAGCAAACGGGAUUAGAAACCCCGGUAGUCC
rnacentral:rRNA from 1 species